ACGCUCGACACCUACGGGGGCAGCAGUUGGGAAUAUUGGACAAUGGAGGAAACUCUGAUCCAGUGACGCCGCGUGAAGGAAGAAGGUCUUCGGAUUGUAAACUUAUUUUGUCAGGGAAGAAAAAAUGACUGUACCUGAAGAAAAAGCACCGGCUAACUACGCGCCAGCAGUCGCGGUAAUCUGAGCGGGCUGGCAAGGC
rnacentral:rRNA from 1 species